GUACUGACAUGGUAUCCCCAGAACACUGAUUCUCCUCCUCAAGCUGCCUGCAUUCCAGAAUCUGAGACCAGAUUUCCUUGGAUGGAAGAGUAAGGCCAGACUUUGGGCUUUGCCUAUGGCCAAGAAUGGGUGAGAACAACCAGCCUCUGAGGCUAAAAGCAAGAUGGAGUCAGGUAUGCUAGAUUUCUCUCACUGUCAUUUUUGCUAAGUGAUUUCGCUAGUGUU
rnacentral:lncRNA from 1 species